UAGCUUUUCUGAGAGCUCAACUGUUGAAUGAGAGAGAAGCCGUGGUGCUGCGGCGCUGUGGGUUAUGGACCACGACCACGGGCCUCGAAGAAAAGCUAAUGGAGAUCCGGUGAGGGAAUACAAUGCCAAUGUCUCACCUUCCUCCUCAUAUCCCUGAGCUUAACCCAUCAGCCAUGUCUCACUUUGUGCUUGGCUUUUGGAUUCUGCUUGGGCAAACCGGCAAGUCACGAAACGGCGUGGACUCUUCUGAGUCUAGUUUAUGGGUCGUCUUUUUAUUCUACUAUGUUUCUUUCUAACAACUACAAUCACUACAAUUAAAUAAAAG
rnacentral:misc_RNA from 1 species